rnacentral:lncRNA from 1 species
GCAGCACUUGAUUCAGAAUGAUGAUGAUAUGAGAUUUUAGAACCUGUGAUAUUUUCAAGGAGGCGAGGAACGACAUGAUCCAUUAAUUUAACCAUCAUGUCAUCUCCACUACUCUGAUUAAAAAGUGACUGAACCAGAUCAUGAACCUCAUAUGAUAUGCAUGACAUUUCGGCAUUAGAACCAUCCGAAAUGUAAUAACAAAG